AGCAGCCGCGGUAAUUCCAGCUCCAAUAGCGUAUAUUAAAAGUUGUUGCAGUUAAAAAAGCUCGUAGUUGAAUUUCGGGAUCAAUAUGUCUGUCGUGCCUUCGGUACGUACGGGUAUAAUUGGUUUCUACCUUCUGAUGAACCUUGAUGCCAUUAAUUUGGUGUCUUGGGGACUCAGGACUGUUACCUUGAAAAAAUUAGAGUGUUUAAAGCAGGCAUACGCUUGAAUACAUUAGCAUGGAAUAAUGAAAUAGGACGUUCGAUUCUAUUUUGUUGGUUUUCUAGGAUCGACGUAAUGAUUAAUAGGGAUAGUUGGGGGCAUUAGUAUUCAAUUGUCAGAGGUGAAAUUCUUGGAUUUAUUGAAGACUAACUACUGCGAAAGCAUUUGCCAAGGAUGUUUUCAUUAAUCAAGAACGAAAGUUAGGGGAUCGAAGACGAUCAGAUACCGUCGUAGUCUUAACCAUAAACUAUGCCGACUAGGGAUCGGAUGAUGUUAAUUUUUAAUGACUCAUUCGGCGUCC
rnacentral:rRNA from 1 species